GACGAACGCUGGCGGCGUGCCUAAUACAUGCAAGUAGAACGCACAGUUUAUACCGUAGCUUGCUACACCAUAGACUGUGAGUUGCGAACAGGUGAGUAACGCGUAGGUAACCUGCCUGGUAGCGGGGGAUAACUAUUGGAAACGAUAGCUAAUACCGCAUAAUAUUAAUUAUUGCAUGAUAAUUAAUUGAAAGGUGCAAUUGCACCACUACCAGAUGGACCUGCGUUGUAUUAGCUAGUAGGUGAGGUAACGGCUCACCUAGGCGACGAUACAUAGCCGACCUGAGAGGGUGAUCAGCCACACUGGGACUGAGACACGGCCCAGACUCCUACGGGAGGCAGCAGUAGGGAAUCUUCGGCAAUGGACGAAAGUCUGACCGAGCAACGCCGCGUGAGUGAAGAAGGUUUUCGGAUCGUAAAGCUCUGUUGUAAGAGAAGAACGGGUGUGAGAGUGGAAAGUUCACACUGUGACGGUAUCUUACCAGAAAGGGACGGCUAACUACGUG
rnacentral:rRNA from 1 species